rnacentral:rRNA from 1 species
GACGAACGCUGGCGGCGUGCUUAACACAUGCAAGUCGAGCGGUAAGGCCCUUUCGGGGGUACACGAGCGGCGAACGGGUGAGUAACACGUGGGUGACCCUGCCCUCAGCUCUGGGAUAAGCCCUGGGAAAACCGGGUCUAAUACCGGAUAUGACUCCAUGACGCAUGUUGUGGGGUGGAAAGCCUUGUGCGGCUGAGGAUGGGCCCGCGGCCUAUCAGCUUGUUGGUGGGGUGAUGGCCUACCAAGGCGACGACGGGUAGCCGGCCUGAGAGGGCGACCGGCCACACUGGGACUGAGACACGGCCCAGACUCCUACGGGAGGCAGCAGUGGGGAAUCUUGCGCAAGUGGGCGAAAGCCUGACGCAGCGACGCCGCGUGAGGGAUGACGGCC